UACGGAGGGUGCGAGCGUUGUCCGGAAUCAUUGGGCGUAAAGGGCGCGUAGGUGGCCCGGUCAGUUCGUGGUGAAAGCGCGGGGCUCAACCCCGCGUCGGCCAUGAAUACUGCUGGGCUUGAGCACUGUAGAGGCAGGCGGAAUUCCGGGUGUAGCGGUGGAAUGCGUAGAUAUCAGGAGGAACACCGGUGGCGAAGGCGGCUACCUGGACAGAAACUGACGCUGAGGCGCGAAAGCUAGGGGAGCAAACAGG
rnacentral:rRNA from 1 species